GCUCCGGUGUCUUAGUGGCUAGAACGUCCGCCUCGGAUGCGAGAGGUCACGGGUUCUAACCCCGUCCGAGUCA